rnacentral:snRNA from 1 species
GUGCUCACUUUGGCAGCACAUGUACUAAAAUUAGAAUGAUAUGGAGAAGAUUAGCAUGGCCCAUGCGCAAGGAUGAUACGCAAAUUUGUGAAGCGUUUCAUAUUUUU